UACGGAGGAUGCAAGCGUUAUCCGGAUUUAUUGGGUUUAAAGGGUGCGUAGGCGGCCUGCUAAGCGGGAGGUGAAAUGCCGGCGCUCAACGUCGGAAGUGCCUCCCGAACUGGUUGGCUUGAAUAGCCCUGCCGUGGGAGGAAUGUGUGGUGUAGCGGUGAAAUGCUUAGAGAUCACACAGAACACCGAUUGCGAAGGCAUCUCACGAAGGGCCGAUUGACGCUGAGGCACGAAAGCGUGGGGAUCAAAC
rnacentral:rRNA from 1 species